rnacentral:lncRNA from 1 species
CUAUGAUGCUCUACGGAUAUAUGGAAGCAGAGUUUGCAGGAGAUUCUGCCCAUCGCUAUAAGUAAACUCAGCUUCCUGCUCCAUUCAUCAGUAGAAGGAACCAACAGAUUUCCUUGCUGUUCCCUGGCCAGGGUGGUGCCGUAGCUGUUGGCAGCGCUCCAGGCUCGCACCAGGCGCAGUGACUCGCAAUACCUUGUAAAAUAGGUUUGGCAGAGCACAGGAAAAUUGCUUACUGCCAUUUCCCUACCUCUGCUCCUGGCUGGAUAUGCGCAGGGAGCACAAGAUGGUGCUGCUCUCCAGAUACGCGUCAGCGCCCCGCUCGGGUGCCAUUCACUUGCUGUGACCACAUCAGCCUGUUCAAGUUUCCCUCAUAUGAACGUGACUAG